UACGAAGGGAGCUAGCGUUGUUCGGAAUCACUGGGCGUAAAGCGCACGUAGGCGGAUUUGUAAGUCAGAUGUGAAAUCCCCGGGCUUAACCUGGGAAUUGCAUAUGAUACUGGUGAACUAGAGAGUGGAAGAGGGAAGUGGAAUUUCCGGUGUAGCGGUGAAAUGCGUAGAUAUCGGAAGGAACAUCAGUGGCGAAAGCGACUUCCUGGACCAAUACUGACGCUCAUGUGCGAAAGCGUGGGGAGCAAACAGG
rnacentral:rRNA from 1 species